AUCAUUGCCAUGAGGUCGUCAUCAACAUUGACCACUUCACCAUUUUGACAACCUAACCGUAAGCAAGAACUGUAACCUCUAUAUCAUCUUGGUAUCGUGGUAUCCCAUCAUUGUACAUUCAUUCUUGCCAUUGCUUUGUGAACCCCUAGCCAUUUUGUGUCACUUGCCUAUCGAGACUAGCCAUUUGAGUAUUGCCGGCAACGUUACUUGUGCACAUUAGUGAUCCGCACCUACCAUUGCAUACUUACCAUAUCAUCUUGGUAUCCUCAUCUUGGUAUCAUCAUAUCAUCUCUUGUGUCACAAGAUUGUUCCCGCAUAUACACAAUUGCUAUCUUGGUUUGUGCAUUUUGCAUAGUGGCCAUACAGAAGAAGAAGAAGAAGAAUAAGCUUUUAAGCAAAGAGAAAACAAAGAGCUUGUAAGCAAUAGCCAUAGCAUCGCCACAUUGCAUAUCAUACUACCAUAUUGAUCAUCUUGGAUCAUCGUGUGCGAAACACCGGGAACCAUACAUAAUAGCAUACUUGGGAUAGAAAGUUUAUCCAUUUUGCAUCUUAUAGGUUGUGCACAAGUGUCGUAUCCGCCUAUUGAGCAAUCGUGGUAGCGUCUCUCUUGAGUUGUGCAACACAAGCGUUUUCCGUGGAUUCUACAUUUUGUGCUCACUCCUUGGUUGCACGACCCCAUUUAUCUAUCUGUGCGUGCGUUUCCGUGUGCCAUUCAUUGCUAUUGGUCUACUUGUUUCACUUGCGAAUUUGUGAAUCUCUUUCAACAUUAUUGACUCUUGCUAACAUUUUGCAUCAAAAUUUUGUGCCACUUGUCCUAACCAAGCCACUCGAUAAGCUUUACUUUGUAGGUGUGAGUGAGCAAGUCCGGUACCAAUUCCACUAUUCUUUCAUUUCACAUUGAGUGAAACGGGAUACACCCUCAACUUUGGGAAAAGGUAGCUUGGUAUUUUUUAUCUCAUUUCCUACUCACCUUUGCUCGAGUCUUGUGAUGGAUAGGCAAAGCACACCUCCUUCGGUCUACAACAACAACGACGAGUUCCAUGCCACAAAAAACUUCAUUGACGCCAAGAUGCAAGCUCAAAUGAAGGAGGUCAAAACCCUCAUCAAGUCCUACAAGAGGUCUUCCACAUCUUCGAGAAGACGCUCAAGUGCACAUGCUUCCGAGCUACCAUCUCCGGCAAGGUCACAUCGGCAUCGACACCAUCAACAACAAGUACGUGAAGGUCAAGAGUGCUACCUCUUGAGCACUGCGUUGGUUUUCCCUGUAAGAGGAAAGGGUGAUGCAGCAAAGUAGCGUAAGUAUUUCCCUCAGUUUUUGAGAACCAAGGUAUCAAUCCAGUAGGAGGCUACGCGCGAGUCCCUCGCACCUACACAAAACAAAUAAAUCCUCGCAACCAACGCGAUAAGGGGUUGUCAAUCCCUUCAUGGUCACUUACGAGAGUGAGAUCUGAUAGAUAUGAUAGGAUAAUAUUUUUGGUAUUUUUGUGAUAAAGAUGCAAAGUAAAGAAAGCAAAAUAAAGACGGCGCCGGAAAUAACUUGUUGUAGGGAGAUUAAUAUGAUGGAAAAUUGACCCGGGGGCCAUAGGUUUCACUAGUGGCUUCUCUCAAGAGCAUAAGUAUUUUACGGUGGGUGAACGAAUUACUGUUGAGCAAUUGACAUAAUUGAGCAUAGUUAUGAGAAUAUCUAGGUAUGAUCAUGUAUAUAGGCAUCACGUCCGAGACAAGUGGACCGACUCCUGCCUGCAUCUACUACUAUUACUCCACUCAUCGACCGCUAUCCAGCAUGCAUCUAGAGUAUUAAGUUCAUGAAAACAGAGUAACGCCUUAAGCAAGAUGACAUGAUGUAGAUGGAUAAAUUCAUGCAAUAUGAUUAAAAACCCCAUCUUGUUAUCCUCGAUGGAAACAAUACAAUACGUGCCUUGCUGCCCCUACUGUCACUGGGAAAGGACACCACAAGAUUGAACCCAAAGCUAAGCACUUCUCCCAUUGCAAGAAAGAUCAAUCUAGUAGGCCAAACCAAACUGAUAAUUCGAAGAGACUUGCAAAGAUAACCAAUCAUACAUAAAAGAAUUCAGAGAAGAUUCAAAUAUUGUUCAUAGAUAAUCUUGAUCAUAAACCCACAAUUCAUCGGUCUCAACAAACACACCGCAAAAAGAAGAUUACAUCGAAUAGAUCUCCACGAGAGGGGGGAGAACAUUGUAUUGAGAUCCAAAAAGAGAGAAGAAGCCAUCUAGCUACUAACUAUGGACCCGAAGGUCUGAAGCAAACUACUCACACUUCAUCGGAGAGGCUAUGGUGUUGAUGUAGAAGCCCUCCAUGAUGGAUGCCCUCUCCGGCGGAGCUCCGGAACAGGCCCCAAGAUGGGAUCUCGUGGGUACAGAAGGUUGCGGCGGUGGAAUUAGGUUUUUGUCUCCGUAUCUGAUCGUUUGGGGGUACGUAGGUAUGUAUAGGAGGAAGGAGUACGUCGGUGGAGCAACAGGGGGCCCACGAGGGUGGAGGGCGCGCCCUGGGGGGGGUAGGCGCGUCCCCUACCUCGUGGCCUCCUCCUUUGUUUCUUGACAUAGGGUCCAAGUCUCCCGGAUCAUAAUCUUCCUAAAAAUCACGUUCCCGAAGGUUUCAUUCCGUUUGGACUCCAUUUGAUAUUCUUUUUCUGCGAAACUCUGAAAUAGGCAAAAAACAGCAAUUCUGGGCUAGGCCUCCGGUUAAUAGGUUAGUCCCAACAAUAAUAUAAAAGUGAAUAAUAAAGCCCAAUAAUGUCCAAAACAGUAGAUAAUAUAGCAUGGAGCAAUCAAAAAUUAUAGAUACGUUGGAGACGUAUCAAGCAUCCCCAAGCUUAAUUCCUGCUCGUCCUCGAGUAGGUAAAUGAUAAAAACAGAAUUUUUGAUGCGGAGUGCUACUUGGCAUAAUUUCAAUGUAAUUCUUCUUAAUUGUGGUAUGAAUAUUCAGAUCCGAAAUAUUCAAGACAAAAGUUUAAUAUUGACAUAAAAGUAAUAAUACUUCAAGCAUACUAACAAACCAAUCAUGUCUUCUCAAAAUAACAUGGCCAAAGAAAGUUAUCCCUACAAAAUCAUAUAGUCUGGCUAUGCUCUAUCUUCACCACACAAAGUAUUUAAAUCAUGCACAACCCCGAUGACAAACCAAGCAAUUGUUUCAUACUUUUGACAUUUUCAAAACUUUUUCAAUCUUCACGCAAUACAUGAGCGUGAGCCAUGGACAUAUCACUAUAUGUGGAAUAGAAUGGUGGUUGUGGAGAAGACAAAAAGGGAGAAGAUAGUCUCACAUCAACUAGGCGUAUCAAUGGGCUAUGGAGAUGCCCAUCAAUAGAUAUCAAUGUGAGUGAGUAGGGAUUGCCAUGCAACGGAUGCACUAGAGCUAUAAGUAUAUGAAAGCUCAACAAAGGAAACUAAGUGGGUGUGCAUCCAACUCGCUUGCUCACGAAGGCCUAGGGAAUUUUGAGGAAGCCCAUCAUUGGAAUAUACAAGCCAAGUUCUAUAAUGAAAAAUUCCCACUAGUAUAUGAAAGUGACAAAAUGAGAGACUCUCUAUCAUGAAGAUCAUGGUGCUACUUUGAAGCACAAGUGGGGUAAAAGGAUAGUAACAUUGUCCCUUCUCUCUUUUUCUCUCAUUUUUUUAUUUGGGCCUUUUCUCUCUCUCUUUUUUAUGGCCUCUUUUUUUUCGUUCGGAGUCUCAUCCCGACUUGUGGGGGAAUCAUAGUCUCCAUCAUCCUUUUCCUCACUUGGGACAAUGCUCUAAAAAUGAUGAUCAUCACACUUUUAUUUUCUUACAACUCAACAAUUACAACUCGAUAAUUAGAACAAAAUAUGACUCUAUAUGAAUGCCUCCGGCGGUGUACCGGGAUAUGCAAUGAAUCAAGAGUGACAUGUAUGAAAGAAUUAUGAACGGUGGCUUUGCCACAAAUACGAUGUCAACUACAUGAUCAUGCAAAGCAAUAUGACAAUGAUGGAGCGUGUCAUAAUAAACGGAACGGUGGAGAGUUGCAUGGCAAUAUAUCUCAGAAUGGCUAUGGAAAUGCCAUGAUAGGUAGGUAUGGUGGCUGUUUUGAGGAAGGUUUAUGGUGGGUGUAUGAUACCGGCGAAAAGUGUGUGGUAUUAGAGAGGCUAGCAAUGGUGGAAGGAAGAAUGGUGCGUAUAAUCCAUGGACUCAACAUUAGUCAUAAAGAACUCAUAUACUUAUUGCAAAAAUCUACAAGUUAUCAAAGCAAAGUAUUACGCGCAUGCUCCUAGGGGGAUAGAUUGGUAGGAAAAGACCAUCGCUCGUCCCCGACCGCCACUCAUAAGGAAGACAAUCAAUAAAUAAAUCAUGCUCCGACUUCAUCGCAUAACGGUUCACCAUACGUGCAUGCUACGGGAAUCGCAAACUUUAACACAAGUAUUUCUCAAAUUCACAACUACUCAACUAGCAUGACUCUAAUAUCACCAUAUUCAUGUCUCAAAACAAUUAUCAAGCAUCAAACUUUUCAUAGUAUUCAACACACUCAUAAGAAUUUUUACAAAUCUUGUAUGCUUAGCAUAUUAGGAUUAUUUAAGCAAAUUACCAUGCUAUUUAAGAAUCUCAAAAUAAUCUAAGUGAAGCAUGAGAUAUCAAUAGUUUCUAUAAAACAAAUCCACCACCGUGCUCUAAAAGAUAUAAGUGAAGCACUAGAGCAAAACUAUAUAGCUCAAAAGAUAUAAGCGAAGCACAUAGAGUAUUCUAACAAAUUCCAAAUCAUGUAUGGCUCUCUCAAAAGGUGUGUACAGCAAGGAUGAUUGUGGUAAACUAAAAAGCAAAGACUCAAAUCAUACAAGACGCUCCAAGCAAAACACAUAUCAUGUGGUGAAUAAAAAUAUAGCUCCAAGUAAAGUUACCGAUGGAAGUAGACAAAAGAGGGAAUGCCUUCCGGGGCAUCCCCAAGCUUUGGCUUUUUGGUGUCCUUAGAUUAUCUUGGGGGUGCCAUGGGCAUCCCCAAGCUUAGGCUCUUGCCACUCCUUGUUCCAUAAAAUCCAUCAAAAUCUUUCACCCAAAACUUGAAAACUUCACAACACAAAACUUAACAGAAAAUCUCGUGAGCUCCGUUAGCGAAAGAAAACAAAAGACCAGUUCAAGGUACUGUAAUGAACUCAUUAUUUAUUUAUAUUGGUGUUAAACCUACUGUAUUCCAACUUCUCUAUGGUUUAUAAAUUAUUUUACUAGCCAUAGAUUCAUCAAAAUAAGCAAACAACACACGAAAAACAGAAUAUGUCAAAAACAGAACAGUCUGUAGUAAUCUGUAACUAACACAAACUUCUGGAACUCCAAAAAAUCAGCCAAAAUAGGACGACCUAGACAAUUUGUUUAUUGAUCAGCAGCAAUUGUAAUCACUAUUUUAUCACGUUCUGCUGAUUUUUAACAAUUAUUUUCGUGAACAGAAAGUUUCUGGAAAUUUCUGCAAGAUCAAAUAACUAACAUCCAAGAAGAUCCUAUAGGUUUAACUUGGCACAAACACUAAUUAAAACACAAAAACACAUCUAACCAGAGGCUAGAACAAAUAUUUAUUCCUAAACAGAAGUAAAAAGCAAAAAACUAAAAAUAAAAUUGGGUUGCCUCCCUACAAGCGCUAUCGUUUAACGCCCCUAGCUAGGCAUAAGUGCAAGGAUAGAUCUAGGUAUUGCCAUCUUUGGUAGGCAAUCCAUAAGUGGCUCUCAUGAUAGAUUCAUAUGAUAAUUUUAUUUUUUUCCUAGGGAAGUGUUCCAUGCUUUUCUUUAAUGGAAAUUGGAAUCUAAUAUUACCUUCCUUCACAUCAAUAAUUGCACCAAUCGUUCUAAGGAAAGGUCUACCAAGAAUAAUAGGACAUGAAGGAUUGCAAUCUAUAUCAAGAACGAUAAAAUCUACGGGCACAUAAUUCCUAUUUGCAACAAUAAGAACAUCAUUAAUUCUUCCCAUAGGUUUCUUAAUAGUAUAAUCCGCAAGGUGCAAGUUUAGAGAGCAAUCAUCAAAAUCACGGAAAUCUAGCAAAUCGCACAAAGUUUUGGGAAUAGUGGAAACACUAGCACCCAAAUCACAUGAAGCAUAGAACUCAUGAUCCUUAAUCUUAAUUUUAAUAGUAGGUUCCCACUCAUCAUAAAGUUUUCUAGGAAUAGAAACUUCCAACUCAAGCUUUUCUUCAUAAGAUUGCAUCAAGGCAUCAACGAUAUGUUUAGUAAACGCUUUAUUUUGACUAUAAGCACGAGGAGAAUUUAGCACGGAUUGCAACAAGGAAAUACAAUCUAUCAAAGAGCAAUUUUCAUAAUUAAAUUCCUUGAAAUCCAAAAUAGUGGGUUUAGCAACAUCUAAGGUUUUAAUCUCUUCAAUCCCACUUUUAUCAAUUUUAGCAUCAAGAUCUAAAAAGUCCGAAUUUUUGGAACGCCUUCUAGGUAAAGGUGGAUCAUAUUCAGUCUCAUCAUUAUCAAUAUUCAUAUUGCAAAACAAGGAUUUAAUAGGAGACACAUCAAUAACUUUUAGAUCUUCAUCUUUAUUUUCAUAGAAAUCUGAAGAACACGCUUUUAUAAAGCAAUCUUUCUUAGCACGCAUCCUAGCGGUUCUUUCUUUGCACUCAUCAAUGGAAAUUUUCAUGGCUUUGAGAGACUCAUUGAUAUCAUGCUUAGGAGGAAUAGAUCUAAGUUUUAAAGAAUCAACAUCAAGAGAAAUUCUAUCAACGUUCCUAGCCAAUUCAUCAACUUUAAGCAAUUUCUCUUCAAGCAAAGCAUUGAAAUUCUUUUGUGAAUUCAUAAACUCUUUAACACUGGUCUCAAAUUCAGAGGGCAUCUUAUUAAAAUUUCCAUAAGAAUUGUUGUAGGAAUUACCAUAAUUAUUAGAGGAAUGGCUAGGAUAAGGCCUAGGAUUAAAGUUUCCUCUAUACGCGUUGUUACCAAAAUUAUUCCUACCAACGAAAUUCACAUCCAUAGAUUCAUUAUUAUUCUCAAUCAAAGUAGACAAAGGCAUAUCAUUAGGAUCAGAAGAAACACUCUUAGUAGCAAAUAAUUUCAUAAGUUCAUCCAUCUUUCCACUCAAAACAUUAAUUACUUCUAUCGCAUGCACUUUUUUAUUAGUAGAUCUUUCAGUGUGCCAUUGAGAAUAAUUAACCAUAAUAUUAUCUAGGAGUUUAGUAGCUUCUCCUAAAGUGAUUUCCAUAAAAGUGCCUCCCGCGGCCGAAUCUAAAAGAUUUCUAGAAGCAAAAUUCAAUCCGGCAUAAUUUUUUUGCAUAAUCAUCCACAAAUUCAAGUUGCUUAAAAUUCAUAAUAUCGUUUCUAAGAGAGAUGAUCUUAGCGGGAGGAAAAUACUUAGAGAUAAAAGAAUCUUUGCACUUGUUCCAAGAAUCAAUACUAUUUUUAGGCAAAGACGAAAACCAAGCUUUAUUACGAUCUCUAAGCGAAAAAGGAAAUAGCUUCAAUUUAACAAUAUCAUUAUCAACAUCUUUCUUCUUUUGCAUAUCACACAAAUAAACGAAGCUAUUUAGAUGAGUAGCGGCAUCUUCACUAGGAAGGCCGGCGAAUUGAUCUUUCAUGACAAGAUUCAACAAAGCAGCAUUGAUUUCACAAGAUUCGGUAUUGGUAAGAGGAGCAAUCGGAGUGCUAAGGAAAUCAUUAUUGUUGGUAUUGGUAAAGUCAUAUAAUUUGGUAUUAUCUUGAGCCAUCGUGACAAGCAAGCAAUCCGACACACGAGCAAACAAGAGACGGGCAAAAAGAGGCAAACGGAAAAGAGAGGGCGAACAAAACGGCAAGGGUGAAGUGGGGGAGAGGAAAACGAGAGGCAAAUGGCAAAUAAUGUAAUGCGGGAGAUAAGGGAUUGUGAUGGGUACUUGGUAUGUUGACUUUUGCGUAGACCUCCCCGGCAACGGCGCCAGAAAUCCUUCUUGCUACCUCUUGAGCACUGCGUUGGUUUUCCCUUGAAGAGGAAAGGGUGAUGCAGCAAAGUAGCGUAAGUAUUUCCCUCAGUUUUUGAGAACCAAGGUAUCAAUCCAGUAGGAGGCUACGCGCGAGUCCC
rnacentral:lncRNA from 1 species